rnacentral:rRNA from 1 species
GACGAACGCUGGCGGCGUGCUUAACACAUGCAAGUCGAACGGAAAGGCCCUGCUUUUGUGGGGUGCUCGAGUGGCGAACGGGUGAGUAACAAGUGAGUAACCUGCCCUUGACUUUGGGAUAACUUCAGGAAACUGGGGCUAAUACCGGAUAGGAGCUCCUGCUGCAUGGUGGGGGUUGGAAAGUUUCGGCGGUUGGGGAUGGACUCGCGGCUUAUCAGCUUGUUGGUGGGGUAGUGGCUUACCAAGGCUUUGACGGGUAGCCGGCCUGAGAGGGUGACCGGCCACAUUGGGACUGAGAUACGGCCCAGACUCCUACGGGAGGCAGCAGUGGGGAAUCUUGCACAGUGGGCGGAAGCCUGAUGCAGCAACGCCGCGUGCGGGAUGACGGCCUUCGGGUUGUAAACUGCUUUCGCCUGUGACGAAGCGUGAGUGACGGUAAUGGGUAAAGAAGCACCGGCUAACUACGUG